rnacentral:rRNA from 1 species
UACGUAGGGUGCAAGCGUUGUCCGGAAUUAUUGGGCGUAAAGAGCUCGUAGGCGGUUGUCGCGUCUGCUGUGAAAACUCGGGGCUACACUCCGGACGCUGCAGUGGGUACGGGCAGACUAGAGUGCGGUAGGGGAGACUGGAAUUCCUGGUGUAGCGGUGAAUGCGCAGAUAUCAGGAGGAACACCGGUGGCGAAGGCGGGUCUCUGGCCGUAACUGACGCUGAGGAGCGAAAGCCAGGGAGCAAACGGG